rnacentral:lncRNA from 1 species
AAAUCCCUAAUGGUGAAAUAUAGGGAAAGUGAAAGUAGUAUUUGGACAGAGUAGUGAUGGUUUGCUUAUCUCUUAAGUGGCAUAAGUUCCCUGCAACUCAUGACGAAAGCCCUUGUUGCCAUAAUUUGCAUUCCUGCCUGUCUUUAGAAGGCAUGUCCCCUGCUAGGAGGGAUUAGACUGUGUUUUUCCCUGUUCUUCAAUGGGAGGAGUUCUCAGGUACAUGGACAAUCUCCUUGACUUCAUGGAGAGUAACCUUUUAGAAAGAUGGGGUAAAGGUUCUUUCAUUCCAUCAACACUGUUGGGGAGGCUACUUGGACCAGGCACUGUUCUAGGCAUUAUGGACAGAUCAUGAGUGAAAUGAAAGGAGUCCCAGACCCAGCUGGGUGGAGGUGACAGUGAUGAAGAAGUCACAUGUUGGUUGACAACUGCUGUGAACUGGCAACCGGCACCAUAGAAGGGACUGACUGGCAGCUGUACCUGACCUGAAUUUGGGGAGCUGUAAGGAAGGCCGCUGGGAUGGAGGGAUGGCCCAGUUUAUCCUGAGUAGAGCCCAUUCUUAGGAACCGCAAGAUAAAAUGGAAAAUGUCAUCUAGCCUGGAGAAAAAUGGACUCUCGCUCUUGGCCUCCCAAUAAUGGUCUGAUCCAAUCCACAUCCUCUGCAACCAUGUUUCUUCCUGCUUAGAAGAAAAGGGAUGAAAAGGACUUUUCUGCAGUCAGGCAGACCCGUGUCAACUGCGAGGUGAUCUCAGGUAGAUUGCAUGGCUUCUCUCAGUUUCGGUUUUCUUGUCAGGUAAAGAGACAGAUCAGAUGAAUGCAGUAAUUAUAAUCACCUGUGUUGGGCACUUGUUAUGUGCCUGUCACAGAUUUACAUGCAUCACCUCAUUUAAUCUUCGAAACAGGCUAGGCGUGGUGGCUCACACCUGUAAUCCCAGGACUUUGGGAGGCUGAGGCAUGUGGAUCAUUUGAGGUCAGGAGUUCAAGAUCAGCAUGGUCAACAUGGUGAAACCCCAUCUACUAAAAAUACAAAAAUUAGCUGGAUGUGGUGGCAGGCACCUGUAAUCCCAGCUACUCAGGAGGCUGAGGCAAGAGAAUUGCUUGAACCCUUGAACCUGGGAGGCUGAUAUGGCACCACUACACUCCAGCCUGGGCAACAGAGUGAGACUCUGUCUUAAAAAAAAAAAAUCUUUGAAACAACCCCUAUGAGUUUGGCAUUAUUCUCUAGGGGUGAGAUUGGGGCAAGGUAAGGGAGACAUUUGCCCCAUGCACAAAAUCUAAAGGGGUACCCCAAAAGCAAUAAUGAAGACAAUAUUUCAUUGUAAUUUUAAAAAUCGAAGUUAACGCAAAAAAAUUCAUAUUGAAUAGAUUGUCAACAUUUAAAAUCAAGACAUCAUCCCUCCCUGUACUUGCAGGACCUGGCCUCACUCAUUUUACCUUAAUCUGGCCCCA